CUGAAGGAUAGCUCAGUUGGUAGAGGACGAGACUCUUUAAUCUCAGGGUUGUGCGUUCGAGUCCCACGUUGCGUGAAAGA